CCGGUAGACGAUGGGGAUGCGUUCCAUUAGAUAGUAGGCGGGGUAACGGCCCACCUAGUCUUCGAUGGAUAGGGGUUCUGAGAGGAAGGUCCCCCACAUUGGAACUGAGACACGGUCCAAACUCCUACGGGAGGCAGCAGUGAGGAAUAUUGGUCAAUGGGCGAGAGCCUGAACCAGCCAAGUAGCGUGAAGGAUGACUGCCCUAUGGGUUGUAAACUUCUUUUAUAAAGGAAUAAAGUCGGGUAUGGAUACCCGUUUGCAUGUACUUUAUGAAUAAGGAUCGGCUAACUCCGUGCCAGCAGCCGCGGUAAUACGGAGGAUCCGAGCGUUAUCCGGAUUUAUUGGGUUUAAAGGGAGCGUAGAUGGAUGUUUAAGUCAGUUGUGAAAGUUUGCGGCUCAACCGUAAAAUUGCAGUUGAUACUGGAUAUCUUGAGUGCAGUUGAGGCAGGCGGAAUUCGUGGUGUAGCGGUGAAAUGCUUAGAUAUCACGAAGAACUCCGAUUGCGAAGG
rnacentral:rRNA from 1 species